UACGGAGGGUGCGAGCGUUGUCCGGAAUCACUGGGCGUAAAGGGCGCGUAGGUGGCCCGUUAAGUGGCUGGUGAAAUCCCGCGGCUCAACUGCGGGGCUGCCGGUCAUACUGGCGAGCUAGAGCACGGUAGGGGCAGAUGGAAUUCUCGGUGUAGCGGUGAAAUGCGUAGAUAUCGAGAGGAACACCUGCGGCGAAGGCGGGUUGCUGGGCUGACACUGACGCUGAUGCGCGAAAGCCAGGGGAGCGAACGGG
rnacentral:rRNA from 1 species